UCGAACGGCAGCACGGGAGCAAUCCUGGUGGCGAGUGGCGAACGGGUGAGUAAUAUAUCGGAACGUGCCCAAUCGUGGGGGAUAACGCAUGGAAACGUGUGCUAAUACCGUAUACGCCCUUAGGGGGAAAGAUUUAUCGGGGUAUGAUGAGCCCGCGUUGGAUUAGCUAGUUGGUGGGGUAAAGGCCUACCAAGGCGACGAUCCAUAGCUGGUCUGAGAGGAUGAUCAGCCACAUUGGGACUGAGACACGGCCCAAACUCCUACGGGAGGCAGCAGUGGGGAAUAUUGGACAAUGGGCGCAAGCCUGAUCCAGCCAUGCCGCGUGAGUGAUGAAGGUCUUAGGAUUGUAAAGCUCUUUCACCGGAGAAGAUAAUGACGGUAUCCGGAGAAGAAGCCCCGGCUAACUUCGUGCCAGCAGCCGCGGUAAUA
rnacentral:rRNA from 1 species